rnacentral:rRNA from 1 species
GUAUAUGGCCAUGCCACCCUGAACAAGCCCGAUCUGGGAAGCUAAGCUGGGUCAGGCCUGGUUAGUACUUGGAUGGGAGAUCACCUAGGAAGACCAGGUGCUGUAGGAG